rnacentral:rRNA from 1 species
UGGGGAAUAUUGCGCAAUGGGCGGAAGCCUGACGCAGCGACGCCGCGUGGGGGAUGACGGCCUUCGGGUUGUAAACCUCUUUCGGCCCCGACGAAGCGAACAGUGACGGUAGGGGUAGAAGAAGCACCGGCCAACUACGUGCCAGCAGCCGCGGUAACACGUAGGGUGCGAGCGUUGUCCGGAAUUAUUGGGCGUAAAGAGCUCGUAGGCGGUGUGUCGCGUCGGCCGUGAAAACCUGUGGCUUAACUGCGGGCUUGCGGUCGAUACGGGCAUCACUGGAGUUCGGCAGGGGAGACUGGAAUUCCUGGUGUAGCGGUGAAAUGCGCAGAUAUCAGGAGGAACACCGGUGGCGAAGGCGGGUCUCUGGGCCGAUACUGACGCUGAGGAGCGAAAGCGUGGGGAGCGAACAGG